AGGAACAAAAAGAUGCACUUUAAUGCUUUCUCAAGCACUGCAUUAACCAUUUGAUAGUGAGGCUGUGCAAGAAUACAAGGUAACCUAUUACUAUGUUUGUUUCUUCAGGCACCAGAACCUAAUCUGUUUCGGCACAAUGUAGCAUGCACUGCUGAGCGAGACGGUUAUCUGUACACAUUGAAUGCUUCUACUCUCAGCAAGCAGUGGGAAUCUGUAAGUUUUAAAUUAUUGCACUAAUGUUGAUAGUUAGUUAUAUUAUCACAAGGAAAAAUAGUAUGAGUGUGAAAAAAACAGUAGCACUAGGUUAUCACUAAUGUAAUAGAAGUUCCAGUAGCACUUUCAGUUCUACAAUGUCUGGAGACUUAGAAUUGGCUGUUUUGAGUACAUGAGAUGCCAAAUGUGUCAACUGUCAA